rnacentral:rRNA from 1 species
GGUUAAGCGACUAAGCGUACACGGUGGAUGCCCUGGCAGUCAGAGGCGAUGAAGGACGUGCUAAUCUGCGAUAAGCGUCGGUAAGGUGAUAUGAACCGUUAUAACCGGCGAUUUCCGAAUGGGGAAACCCAGUGUGAUUCGUCACACUAUCAUUAACUGAAUCCAUAGGUUAAUGAGGCGAACCGGGGGAACUGAAACAUCUAAGUACCCCGAGGAAAAGAAAUCAACCGAGAUUCCCCCAGUAGCGGCGAGCGAACGGGGAGCAGCCCAGAGCCUGAAUCAGUGUGUGUGUUAGUGGAAGCGUCUGGAAAGGCGCGCGAUACAGGGUGAUAGCCCCGUACACAAAAAUGCACAUGCUGUGAGCUCGAUGAGUAGGGCGGGACACGUGGUAUCCUGUCUGAAUAUGGGGGGACCAUCCUCCAAGGCUAAAUACUCCUGACUGACCGAUAGUGAACCAGUACCGUGAGG